AAAGCAGGGAUUGUGUGUAUCGGUGUUGUGCUAUGAUUAAUGCACUCUUCUGAAAGAGUUCCCUGCAACAGUAUUUUGAGAAAAUGGGCAGUUGUGUUUCAUUUCUUGCUAUUGAAAUUCACAACAAUCAUUUUCCCCACAUCU
rfam:Lupinus angustifolius cultivar Tanjil chromosome LG05, whole genome shotgun sequence.